rnacentral:rRNA from 1 species
GAAGAACCUUACCACCUUUUGACAUGCCUGGACCGCCAGAGAGAUCUGGCUUUCUCUUCGGAGACUAGGACACAGGUGCUGCAUGGCUGUCGUCAGCUCGUGUCGUGAGAUGUUGGGUUAAGUCCCGCAACGAGCGCAACCCUCGCCAUUAGUUGCCAUCAUUUAGUUGGGAACUCUAAUGGGACUGCCGGUGCUAAGCCGGAGGAAGGUGGGGAUGACGUCAAGUCCUCAUGGCCCUUACAGGGUGGGCUACACACGUGCUACAAUGGCGACUACAGAGGGUUAAUCCUUAAAAGUCGUCUCAGUUCGGAUUGUCCUCUGCAACUCGAGGGCAUGAAGUGGAAUCGCUAGUAAUCG